rnacentral:lncRNA from 1 species
UCGCCUCUCUCGGUCGUGAAGAAGGAGAAAUCUCUAACGGAGCUUCCGUCGCCGCCGUUAUCCUCCAAAACCCGCCGCAUUGCUAAACCCCGUCUAACCGCCACUUCAUCAUCAACAACCACCGUCUUCGUCGGCUGCGGCGUAGGUGACGGCGAAAUGCAGCAGACGACGUUCCGCUUCCUCUGUUUAACCUCUUUGGUUUGGAUGACUGUCACGAAGCGGUUAAGCUCCCGCGUGGAGAAGAGAGCGCUGGUGCCAGGUGUCAGAACCAACGGUGAGGAGAUUGAUCUCAUUGGCGAUCGCCGACGAGCUGUAGCAUUGAUCGGAUGAUGAUUUCGAGUACCGUCUACAUUGAAUGGUAAUGAGAUUCCAGUGGCUAAUACGAUCGUUCUCCCGCUUGAGCAGAUCAUAAACAAAAGGCGAAUUUGUAUCGCCCUUCUCUGAAAUUAGAUUAAUUCGAGAGUUGAAAUAGGAAAGAAAAGUUAGGGUUUUUCUUUGUUUGAUGAACAGACCCAAAAAAAAACACACAGAGAGAUCUCAAGAAGAAAAUUCUGAUUAGCAGAAUCGCGAGAACAGUGAAGCAGUUUGGUAGUUAAGAUUUUUUUUAAAGAACUAUUGGAGGAAAAUUAUUAAAUAAUUCAGUCUUUUUUGUUUGUAACUAGCUGGGGGCUCUGAGAGCACCACCAUCGGUGAAGUUCUAUAAAAAUCAGUAUACAAACCAUUAAAUAAUAAUAUUAUUGUUGGAACAAAGGUGAAAAUCGUGUCUCUUUCUGUAUCUUAUUACUCAAUCAAAGUGUUCCCUUAUAUAGGGUUUAGAAGGAAUAGAUAAAUGGAAAGAUGGAAAGAGUACAGAUCAUUAUCCUGAAAGAAAAAAGGAAAUCUACUUAGAGAUAAACAUAGAGAAAAGGAAACUAUCCUAUGUCUAAAGUCGGCCGCUCUCUCUCCCUUUGGGCCGCCGACUCUCUCUCUCCAUAGGCAACGGUUUGGGCCUUUGGUUACUAGCAAUCUACAUUGUUCAUAACAAUUAUAACAUAAUAAAAAAAUUUGAUUAAAAUUAAUUUUAUUGGUAAAUGAUAAACCACUAAUAUCAUGACACAUAGCAAAAUAAAUUUUAGGACCAUUUCUAAAAGUACUACUUAUAGAACUUCUCUUAACCUUCUCUCUCCUUCUGUUAUUAUUUUAACUAGAGACAUUCCCGGGCUACGCCCGGGUUAUUUUCCUAUAUUUUAAUUGAAUUUCGAUUACUUCAUAAUUUAUAUCUGAAUGUAAAUAUAUAUUUUAUAGAAUGAAUACAAUAUAUACUAUAACAAACUCAUAUUAUUAAUUGUUUACUGAUGUCUGAAACCCUUAAUAAUAUAACAUGCAUAUAUAUAUAUAUAUAUGUGUGUGUUAGAUUUAUAUGAGUCGUCGAACUUUUAAGAGUAUCUUUAAUGUAAAUUUUUUUUUUCUUUUUAAAAUAUAGUAAAAAUGAGUAUAGAGUAAAAAAUAUUAUAAUCCUACUCUAUUUUUUACUCCAUAAUUAAACCCCGUCUAACCGCCACUUCAUCAUCAACAACCACCGUCUUCGUCGGCUGCGGCGUAGGUGACGGCGAAAUGCAGCAGACGACGUUCCGCUUCCUCUGUUUAACCUCUUUGGUUUGGAUGACUGUCACGAAGCGGUUAAGCUCCCGCGUGGAGAAGAGAGCGCUGGUGCCAGGUGUCAGAACCAACGGUGAGGAGAUUGAUCUCAUUGGCGAUCGCCGACGAGCUGUAGCAUUGAUCGGAUGAUGAUUUCGAGUACCGUCUACAUUGAAUGGUAAUGAGAUUCCAGUGGCUAAUACGAUCGUUCUCCCGCUUGAGCAG